rnacentral:rRNA from 17 species
UUUGACCUCGGAUCAGGUAGGGAUACCCGCUGAACUUAAGCAUAUCAAUAA